rnacentral:lncRNA from 1 species
CCAAAUUAGGGUCCUAUGUUAAACUAAGCCCCCCACUGGCAGCCAUCUUGGAUGAUGGAUCGGAGACAAAGUAACAACACUUGGUCAGCAUCGCAUAAGGAACAUUCAUGCUAUGUUUGGUUUCAUUCCAUUCAGUGGUUCUCUAAAAGAUGUCAUUUGUAUGCAUUUCCCAUAGGGUCCUAUGUUAAACUAAGUCCCCCGCUGGCGGCCAUCUUGGAUGAUGGAUCAGCUACAAAGUAACAACACUUGGUCAGUACCUCAUAAAGAACAUUUAAGCCAUAUUUGGUUUCAUUCC